UACGGGGGGGGCAAGCGUUGUUCGGAAUUACUGGGCGUAAAGGGCUCGUAGGUGGCCAACUAAGUCAGACGUGAAAUCCCCAGGCUCAACUUGGGAACUGCGUCUGAUACUGGAUGGCUUGAAUUCGGGAGAGGGAUGCAGAAUUCCAGGUGUAGCGGUGAAAUGCGUAGAUAUCUGGAGGAAUACCGGUGGCGAAGGCGGCAUCCUGGACCGAGAUUGACACUGAUGAGCGAAAGCGUGGGGAGCGAACAGG
rnacentral:rRNA from 1 species